AAGUCAUGAUGUGGGCAAGCACUUAGAAAAUCCUUAAACCUCUCCCAAUAUUGGAAGAAGGUUUCUUCCUCUUUCUACGAGAAGUUCAUGAUAGCCCUUUUAAGAGUGU